AAACAAACAGUUUGUCGAAGAUCAAAUUCUUCAAUUGACUCUAGUAACUGGCAAGUGAAAAUAUUUGCCCUGGUGUGUGGUGUGGACUUUUAAAGUCCUGCAGUGGCUAGUGACGCAAAACGUGAAAUGCUAUGUAACAUUACAACUGAUAAUACUCUUUUUUUGCAAAGUUUAGUGUACAUUGAUACAUUUCCUCCUAUGUUUACAUGUGAGAUCUGUAUCUGCUAGACAUGUUUAGAUGAGAGGGGGUUUGAAUGUCUAGCAUUUGUGUUUGGUUUUUAUUCAUUAUAUUCUCAGUAUUAAAGUGUAUGAAUCCGAAUGGGGAAACUGUACAACUCUGACUUAGGCAUUCAAAAAAAGCAAAGGAGCAAAUCAGAGUACAUAGCAAGUUAAAAAGGUUAUUGUAUCGGUUUCAUGUUUUUCUUUUAAUCAGUUCUUGGUUUUCAUAACCCUGUACAGAGAAGUCUGGUUCUUAAAGAUGCUGUGUUCGUAUGUAAUGUCCUGCUCUUGUGAAAUGAGUGAGACAUUCUAUUUUUGUACAGGAUUCUUGAACUGGUAUGCUUUAUAUAGGAUAUCAAGGGAAUAAUUUUGUUCUUCAUAUGGG